AAUGAACGCUUUCUUCCUUCCUUACACAUGCAAGUCGAACGGCAGCAUGACCUAGCUUGCUAGGUUGAUGGCGAGUGGCGAACGGGUGAGUAAUGCAUCGGAACGUGCCUUUUAGUGGGGGAUAACGUAGCGAAAGUUACGCUAAUACCGCAUAUUCUCUGAGGAGGAAAGCAGGGGACCUUCGGGCCUUGCGCUAGAAGAGCGGCCGAUGUCGGAUUAGCUAGUUGGUGAGGUAAAGGCUCACCAAGGCAACGAUCCGUAGCGGGUCUGAGAGGAUGAUCCGCCACACUGGGACUGAGACAAGGCCCAGACUCCUACGGGAGGCAGCAGUGGGGAAUUUUGGACAAUGGGCGCAAGCCUGAUCCAGCCAUGCCGCGUGAGUGAAGAAGGCCUUCGGGUUGUAAAGCUCUUUCGGCUGGGAAGAAAUCGCACCCUCUAAUACAGGGUGUGGAUGACGGUACCAGCAUAAGAAGCACCGGCUAACUACGUG
rnacentral:rRNA from 1 species